AACACGUGAAAUUCUGUCUGAAGAUCGGAGGACCACCUUCGAAGGCUAAGUACUCCUUACUGACCGAUAGUGAACCAGUACCGUGAGGGAAAGGUGAAAAGCACCCCGACGAGGGGAGUGAAACAGUUUCUGAAACCGGACGCCUACAAGCAGUCGGAGCCUCCUUGAGAGGUGACGGCGUACCUUUUGUAUAAUGGGUCAGCGACUUAUGUUCAGUGGCGAGGUUAACCGUUUAGGGGAGCCGUAGGGAAACCGAGUCUGAAUAGGGCGAUUUAGUCGCUGGGCAUAGACCCGAAACCGGGCGAUCUAUCCAUGAGCAGGUUGAAGGUGCCGUAACAGGCACUGGAGGACCGAACCCACUG
rnacentral:rRNA from 1 species